rnacentral:tRNA from 1 species
GCCGGGGUGGCGUAAUCGGCGAAACGCGAUGGCCUCAAAAUCCAUUGGGCUUCGGCCCGUGCGGGUUCGAGUCCCGCCCCCGGCA